rnacentral:rRNA from 1 species
UACGUAGGGUGCGAGCGUUGUCCGGAAUUAUUGGGCGUAAAGAGCUCGUAGGCGGUUUGUCGCGUCGACUGUGAAAACCCGAGGCUUAACCUCGGGCCUGCAGUCGAUACGGGCAGACUAGAGUUCGGUAGGGGAGACUGGAAUUCCUGGUGUAGCGGUGAAAUGCGCAGAUAUCAGGAGGAACACCGGUGGCGAAGGCGGGUCUCUGGGCCGAUACUGACGCUGAUGCGCGAAAGCUAGGGGAGCAAACAGG